GAAAAAUGUAGACAAGCGUUCUAUAUUACCAACCUUCAAGUUUUAGCUUCUAUUUCGUUCUCUACACUUCAGGAUCUUCAAAAUACCAGACUACUACAAAUUAACCCAAAAAUCCACCAAGUUUGAUGUUUUUCUCCAAUCUUCAUCUUCUCGAUUAGAUUGCUCCAUGGCAGCCAAGGUUCUUCUUCUUCAAGCAAUUCUCUCCGAUUCUUCGGUAGAAAGUUUGAUGAAAAACUUAGUAGAAAUGGGAGCACUUAUCAAAAUAAACAAUUUGCUUUCCUUUAACUCUUUUGGAUGGCCAACAACCUCUCUUUCCUUCACCCUAUUAUCUUCUGUAAACCAUAACCCUAACCUUACUUGAAAGAAGAGCUAAGUUUAGUGAAAGUUGAAGGAAAAUUGUUGUUUUGUUGUGUUUACGUUGCCUAGUGGAAAGAGGAGUUGAAGAAAAUCCCAAGUGUUGAGACUUGAAAGGUUGGCAGCUAAGUGAAAGAAAGAAUGGUUGGGGAUUACAUGUUUUGCAUUGUCCUAGGUAUUUUGGACAUAACUAGGCUGCAAAAGGUGGCAUGUGAACCUCUAAGGGCAUGUUUUAGGCAUUUUGGAAGGCAAGGCAAGCAAGACUUGGCAUUUUGCAAGGAGUUGAGGUGCCACGCGAGUUGAGCAUGCAAGUUAAGCUGUGCGGCCAAGGCAAGAGAGGUUAGUUAGGUGGCAAAAGUGUCAAAGGCAUGCGACAAGGCUUGUGUUAGGCUUAAUUAGGUGUGUUAAUGUGCAAGGCAUUUUGGAUGACCCUUAAGUGUUCAAGGGGAGUCAGUUGAGUGGAGAACAAGUGUCCAUAACAUGCAAGAUUUCAAAUUUCGGCAAGUAGAAGGUGGCAAGGUUGGCCAUGUAGAGAGCCCUAUAAAUAGGCCAUUUUCAAACGAAGGUUGCUCUCAUUUCCCUCGUGGGUUUUUUAAUGUUUUUCUCAAAAGCUCACUAUAAAAGUGUACUGUGUGAGGUGAGGCUAUAAGGGAGACGCGAGGAAGAUCUUCAUCGACUUGAAGGAAGAGGAAGGGAGUCAUGGGUCUCUGAGUAGUGUGAAUUUUUUGAAGGCUACAUAAUGUAUCUCUUCAAAUUUGAAAUAGAAAUUUGGAGGGUUGAUGGUUGAUCGAGCAUCAGGACGUAGAGCUUAGCGUGUGCCGCAUCUUGAAGGUAAAAAGGUUUUCUUGGCCUUGUUAGCACAGACAUGGCAUGGCCAACGCACAGCCAGGCAGAGUGGGGCAGACACCUUGUCACGCCCUGCCCCGUACGCAUUUUAAAUCUUACUAUACGGCACGUGACGCAACUUGAGCAGCCCAACUUAAGUCAUUGAAAUUUGGCUUUAUCGCCUAGUUCAACUUAACUCCUUUAACUACUAAGCGAUAAGAAUGAUACAAUGUAACAGAAUAAUAACAAACAACAUCUCUUUUGUUAA